rnacentral:rRNA from 1 species
GAUUAGCGGCGGACGGGUGAGUAACACGUGGGCAACCUGCCUAUAAGACUGGGAUAACUUCGGGAAACCGGAGCUAAUACCGGAUACGUUCUUUUCUCGCAUGAGAGAAGAUGGAAAGACGGUUUACGCUGUCACUUAUAGAUGGGCCCGCGGCGCAUUAGCUAGUUGGUGAGGUAAUGGCUCACCAAGGCGACGAUGCGUAGCCGACCUGAGAGGGUGAUCGGCCACACUGGGACUGAGACACGGCCCAGACUCCUACGGGAGGCAGCAGUAGGGAAUCUUCCGCAAUGGACGAAAGUCUGACGGAGCAACGCCGCGUGAACGAAGAAGGCCUUCGGGUCGUAAAGUUCUGUUGUUAGGGAAGAACAAGUACCAGAGUAACUGCUGGUACCUUGACGGUACCUAACCAGAAAGCCACGGCUAACUACGUGCCAGCAGCCGCGGUAAUACGUAGGUGGCAAGCGUUGUCCGGAAUUAUUGGGCGUAAAGCGCGCGCAGGUGGUUCCUUAAGUCUGAUGUGAAAGCCCACGGCUCAACCGUGGAGGGUCAUUGGAAACUGGGGAACUUGAGUGCAGAAGAGGAAAGUGGAAUUCCAAGUGUAGCGGUGAAAUGCGUAGAGAUUUGGAGGAACACCAGUGGCGAAGGCGACUUUCUGGUCUGUAACUGACACUGAGGCGCGAAAGCGUGGGGGAGCAAACAGGAUUAGAUACCCUGGUAGUCCACGCCGUAAACGAUGAGUGCUAAGUGUUAGAGGGUUUCCGCCCUUUAGUGCUGCAGCUAACGCAUUAAGCACUCCGCCUGGGGAGUACGGCCGC